rnacentral:rRNA from 1 species
CAGGAUGAACGCUAGCGACAGGCUUAACACAUGCAAGUCGAGGGGCAGCACGGGAGUAGCAUACUUGGUGGCGACCGGCGCACGGGUGAGUAACGCGUAUGCAACCUACCUAUCAGAGGGGAAUAACCCGGCGAAAGUCGGACUAAUACCGCAUAAAACAGGGGCACCGCAUGGUGAUAUUUGUUAAAGAAAUUCGCUGAUAGAUGGGCAUGCGUUCCAUUAGGUAGUUGGUGAGGUAACGGCUCACCAAGCCGACGAUGGAUAGGGGAACUGAGAGGUUGGUCCCCCACACUGGUACUGAGACACGGACCAGACUCCUACGGGAGGCAGCAGUGAGGAAUAUUGGUCAAUGGGCGGGAGCCUGAACCAGCCAAGUCGCGUGAAGGAAAGAAGGAUCUAUGGUUCGUAAACUUCUUUUGCAGGGGAAUAAAGUGCAGGACGUGUCCUGUUUUGUAUGUACCCUGAGAAUAAGGAUCGGCUAACUCCGUGCCAGCAGCAGC